rnacentral:tRNA from 2 species
AAUAAGAUGGCCGAAAUUUAAGCGAUAGACUGUAAAUCUAUUUAUGAGUAUAUACUCUCUUAUUA